CUAGCGAGAGGGUGUUCUCCACAGCAGGAGACAUUGUUAGUGCCAGCAGAUCUGCCCUUUCGGCAAGCAAUGUGGACAAGUUAAUUUUUCUUUAAAAAAACAUGAAAAUACAAUGACAAGUUUGCAUUGCAAUAUUAGAACGCAUAAAACCCAACUUUAUUUCUUCUAAGUUGCAGGUGUUCAUUGUUUAGAAGUCCGCUGUGUUUCAUCCAAGCUUCCACUUCGUGCUCCAAUAAUGCUGAAAGUAUCUGUUGUAUGCUUUACCUUCUCCAGUAACAAAAGUGUAAUUCACUGGACAGAGACAAGAGAUAGUGGAUGGAUCCAGAAAAUAAGCAGAAGAUAGUCCAUAUAGAGCCUUCAGGUUCUGAAAAUUAUCAGGGAUAGAGCUAGAAAAAAACUCCAAAAACCUGAAUAGAGCUAGAAGAUAGCCAUUACAAAGCCAAGAAAGACCCAGUAGAAAAACAGGAAGGAGCCAAAAGAGUUUAUAUUUUUUAAUAUUCAAGCUCUUCUCUUAAGGUAUUAGAACUUCCUUUCAUUCCAAUGAAAACACUUUACAUUUUUGCUGCAAAUUAUUGAGAUUGUUUCACAGCUUUUAUCUUAAAAUAUUUCACGUUAUUUUUUCUUUACAUAUACAAUACAUAGGAUGAACAGCACGAUCCACUCUGCUGGAUUCUGCCCAAAUCUGCUCAAAAUGCAUGCAAACAUCUCGCUUUAUCCAUACUCCUGCAGUUGUAUUGUUCUGGAUUCAUAGUGAAAUGUAUUAGAUGUUCUGCACUGUUAUUGUUAUGUAUUUAAUAUAAAGUGAAAUACACAUUUAAAAAAAGUCAGAAAAGAAAAGGGACUCUCUUAAGGAAAAAGGUUCUGAACCAGUGAGAGUUCUUCAUAUGCACAUAAACAUGGUAAAUUAUUUAAAGUUGUGACCAGAUGGUGUCGCCCUCUGCACACAUUUAACGCUUUGCAUUUUAUUUAUUUAUUUUACCUUUUAUACCACACUACAAGUCUGACAUUUAUUAAUGAGACGACUGGAAAUUACACUGCAGAUUUAAACACAGCUCAAGUCUUUCACAGCCAGAAAUAUUUCUCUGUGUCACCUUGUCUAUUAUCUUGCUUUUUUUCACAGCUAGAAAUAUUCAAGCAGAAAAAUCAGUGCCUGUUAAAUCAAAGGGAAGGCAAUCAUCUAAGACAACAUUUGUGAAGCGGAUAAGAUCAACUCGGCGUACAAGACACAUCAAUCCUGUGAUUUUUGGUCAUAAUCCAGGCUCUAUGUUCACAUAGAGAAGGAUAUUACAUUGUUUUGGGGCCUAUGUCGGUUAAAAGCCAGCGGAAGGGUGUAUUAGUCUGGGAAAUAUCUCAUAAAGUUGUAAAUUAACACGAAAGAAACUGAUACCUUUUUAAAAAAGAAGUGUUUGAAGCUUGUUCUCCCCCUGCUCUCCUACGUGAUGUCCGGCUGGCGUUACUUCACCGGAUGGGUGACUCUCCUGACCUUCAUCUGUCCUUCCUGUUUUCUCGCAUCACAAGUCAGAUAAACAUUCAUGUAACUAUGAAACAAUAACAUCACUAUAUUGCAAAUCCAGUAUGCCAAAAAACAAAAGGUAUCUGUAAUGUUUGUAGAAUAAUGUAUUUGUGUAGCAACCUUUCAAACACUUUGGAAGUGGACAAUGCCAAACUUAUAUAAUACAGCAUCUCUGUAAAGCUAUAUAAUAAUAUAGACGGUUUAUUCUUAACAGGUCCAACAUUACACAUUGCAAACUCAAAGCUUAUUACGUUUAUGUCAGGAUCUAGCCUGUAGUUUCAGCUAGUUUUAAUUGUGUCAGCUAUGUUAUUUAGUUUUUAUCCUGUAUAACUUAUAAAGUAACGUUAAAAUAUAUCUAAAUGUUGUUUCAAGAGUACAUAUUAACAGAACCGAAGUCCCGUUUUUAUCAUACGUUUCAACCUCCUCAUAUUUUUCUCAGCCAGGUUUGAUUUUGAUACUAAAAGCCUGGGGAUGCAAGUCCUAUUUUAGCCAAAUAACUAUUAACUAGUUUAGUUUGAUUGAACUGCUGGUCUCUGUUUGAGUCUGACACAUGUUCCUUGUCUCCGCAGACCACGGUGCGCCUGUAUCCGUUCCAGAUCCACAGCAUCGCUCUCUCCUCCUUCGCCUCCAUCAUGGGACCCUUCGGAUGAUUCUUUGCCAGCGGCUUCAAGAGAGCCUUCAAGAUCAAAGAUUUUGCCAACACGAUCCCGGGUCACGGUGGCAUUAUGGACCGGUUCGACUGCCAGUACCUCAUGGUCACAUUUGUUAACGUCUACAUUGCCAGCUUCAUCAGGGGCCCAAACCCCAGCAAGGUGAUCCAGCAGCUCCUGACGCUGCGCAUCGACCAGCAGCUCCACAUCUUCAACUCCUUGAAGGCUCACCUGACGGAGAAGGGUUUCCUGCCGGCGCUGGAGGACGUCAUG